rnacentral:piRNA from 1 species
UCCAUGUGAACAUGAAGUGGAGGUCGCCC